UGUGGGGCAGUGUGUGUAUGGGGACAGUGUGGGGCAGUGUGUGUGUAUGGGGGGCAGUGUGUGUAUGGGGACAGUGUUUGUGGGGCAGUGUGUGGAUGGGGGAGGUGUUUGUGAGGGCAGUGUGUGUGUAUGGGGACAGUGUUUGUGGGGCAGAGUGUGUGUAUGGGGACAGUGUUUGUGGGGCAGAGUGUGUGUAUGGGGACAGUGUUUGUGGGGCAGUGUGUGUAUGGGGACAGUGUUUGUGGGGCAGUGUGUGCAUGGGGGUCAGUGUGUGUAUGGGGACAGUGUGUGUGGGGCAGUGUAUGUAAUGGGUGGGUAGUUUGUG